GGUUCCGUAGUGUAGUGGUUAUCCUGUCUACUUUACAUGGCGAAGGUCCUGGGUCAAGCCCCAGUGGAACCA